rnacentral:tRNA from 1 species
GGCCCUAUGGCCUAAUGGAUAAGGCGUCUGACUUCGGAUCAGAAGAUGGCAGGUCUGAGUCAUGCCAGAGUCG